ensembl:misc_RNA Metazoa_SRP Metazoan signal recognition particle RNA
GCCAGGUGCAGUGGUGUGUCCCUGUAGUCCCAGCUACUCAGAAGGUUGAGGUGGGAGGAUCACUUAAGCCCAGGAAUUCUGGGCUGUAGUACACUUUGCUGAUUGGGUGUGCACACUAAGUUCAGCAUCAAUAUGGUGACCUCCUGGUAGCGGGGAACCACCAGGUUGCCUAAAGACGGGUGAACCAGCCCAGGAUGGAAACGGAAAAGGUCAAAACUCCCAUGCUGAUCAGUAGUGGAAUUGCACCUGUGAAUAGCCACUGCACUCCAACCUGGGCAACAUAGCGAGACCCUGUCUCUU